AUCAAGAAUUGGAGUACUCGAAAUUCGACUCCCGAAAUAGCUCAGGAUAGUCGAUAGAUAGCCCACUUUGUUGGGGGCUACAGUUGGACUUGCAUCCUCAAAAACUUUACUCACAGGGGAAAUGAAAAACUGAUAUUAAAGCCUUGCGGGAUUUCGGUUGAUAUUUUGGGUAAUAAGUGUUGAUCGAGACACCGCGAUGGUUGUCACAGGCUCGAGGGGAGUACCGGGUCGUGACAUUAAUUCUCGACACUUUGCUGACACACAUAGAAUGACUUAAACUAUUAUAAAACCUAGACGCUUUGAUACCAAAUUUGUCACGACCCAAACCCGGGGUCAUGACCGACACACGAGCCCAACAGGCAAGCCCACUAGACUUGAGCAAGUCUCAAAAUCCAAAAAUAUAACACAUAGCCAAGGGAUUUCAUAAACAUAUAUUUACAAUAAAACCAAAUGUACUACAUUAUCUUUAGCACAUAAUUCAUACAAAUGUACAUAAGGCCAUGCAUUGGCUAGUCAAAUCGAGUUCUUACAUAUCAACCCUUACACAAGUUCCACAUCGUGCCUACAUAUAUCGAAGCCAACCAUAUGCAGAAGCUUGUGACGGACUCAGCGGAGUGAAAACAUCAAAACAGAGACUUACCAGAUGCAAAAAUUGGUUUGUCGUGGGACGACGUUUACCAUACAACUAUGUGGCCUAUUUAUUUACACAUGGUCUACAAAUGAUUAAAUCACACAGGAUGGUCAAUUGAAGGAGAAUCGGAUCACGCUUAGGGCAAAGCCGUUGGUGAAGAAAAUAAUCACGCAUGUGCAGAAGUAACAGGUGGAGAACAGAUCACGCACAACAUUGAAGCAGUUGGUGGAGAAUUAGAUCAUUGAUUGCAGUAAACUCCCGACGUGGACAUCACUCGGAUUACUCUCAGACAGGUGGCAUCAAAUCACUACAGGUGGGAAUCAUAAGUGGGAUUAGUGCCACCGUCCCUACUUACCAUUAUCCCUGCAAGCACACACAGUCAUAGGGGUAUAGAAAUCCACUCAACCACAAAUCAGAUCAAUAUCCGGUAUUCAUCCCUCGGAUGAAAACACGAAUCUACAAAUAAAGCCAUCAUGCCUUUUUCAUUCACAGUUUUCUCAUCAAACCUCAAAUCACAUUUAUCAAGCUUCAAUCGUCUUAAGUUCGAUUAGGUUCUAAGUGUCUCUAAAUCUUCAAUGCAUCAUUUAAUCAAAUCAUCUCAACAUAUCAUUCAUGUCACGACCCGGAACCUCCCUCAGGCCCAUGA